GUAGGUGAACCUGCGGAAGGAUCAUUAUCGAGUUCGGGUCCUUGGGGCCCCCUCUCCCACCCUUGCCAAUCUUACCAUGUUGCUUUGGCGGGCCCGUCUUCAACCGGACCGCCGGGGAGUCGUCUCCCUGGUCCGCGCCCGCCAACAGCCCCCACCAAAUCCUCUUGAAGCGUGAUAUCUGAGUCCCAACAAACAAUAAUCAAAACUUUCAACAACGGAUCUCUUGGUUCUGGCAUCGAUGAAGAACGCA
rnacentral:misc_RNA from 1 species